rnacentral:rRNA from 1 species
UACGUAGGGUGCAAGCGUUAUCCGGAAUUAUUGGGCGUAAAGAGCUCGUAGGCGGUUUGUCACGUCUGCUGUGAAAACUGGAGGCUCAACCUCCAGCCUGCAGUGGGUACGGGCAGACUAGAGUGCGGUAGGGGAGAUUGGAAUUCCCGGUGUAGCGGUGAAAUGCGCAGAUAUCGGGAAGAACACCCGUGGCGAAGGCGGCACUCUGGGACGGUACUGACGCUGAGACGCGAAAGCGUGGGGGAGCGAACAGG